UCAGGUGCUGCAGUCCCACCCUCCCAGGCUGCUCUCCUCCAUUCCCUGCUGUUUGCACUUCUUGGGGCUGAAGCUGCAGCCGUGUCCUUGGUUCUGGGGCUGGAAAAGUGCAGGAAAUGAAUUUGCAGAGAAACGUUUGUAGAGAAAUAUGAAUUUCUAGAGAAACAGGCACUGUUGAGAGAGAAAUGGAAGUGGAACAAGUUUCGAAGGGUGGCCUUGCAAAUGAGACUGGAUACUUCAGAGAAAUAGAGCUGUGGAAGAUGCAUUGGAGUAGCACCCACGAGGGGAACUCCGGGCAUCUCCUGCCCAAACGCAGCGAGUGAGGCAGCAAAUCUUUUGUAAUAAAACAGGAUUUUUUCUGCUUUGUUAUCUGAA